rnacentral:snRNA from 1 species
GUGCUCACUUUGGCAGCACAUAUACUAAAAUUGGAAUGAUACAGAGAAGAUUAACAUGGCCCCUGCACAAGGAUGAUAUGAAAAUUCAUGAAGUGUUCCAUAUAAAA